rnacentral:lncRNA from 1 species
UGUAUAAUUAGCGCAAGACAUUUAGAGGGGACGUUUAGGUUAGAACGGUCUUAACAAGCGAUAAUGUAAUUAAAAGAAUGCUGAAACGCAAAAAACAUGUUGUGUAUGUGUCAAAAUGUAGUUUCAAUUCACCUCAUAUAGUGUCUGAAUAUUGAAAUCUUUAAUUUUUUUAUUUACAUUUAUAUGACUAUUAGAGAUAAUUAGACUCUUUGUGUGCUGUGAGCACAUAUCAUAACUACCGGUUUAAACUAUGCGCUGCCGCAAAUCAAGGUAGACAUGGGGUGCUCGCACCUCGUCCGAAGAAGUAUGACUUUACGAAGAUUGGGUGUUUUGGUGGCGUAUUUUCAAGCACAACUCCUCCUUAUCUUCAAUACAAAUGGCGGUGGCGAGGCACAAGUAACUAAACCUCCUUGGGUUCCUUGGACUCAAAUUGGGGUGGUAAAUCGGCUGGAGGGUGGAAAACUUGGACCACAAGACCACCGUGGAAAUCUUACGGUGAUAGUCGGCCGAUUCGGGUGGCGGAUACAAGUCAUGGCCGACGAAAUCUCCGGGUGGUUGGAAACAAUACGGUGACAAUCGAGGCAGCGGUCAAAGCGGAGGCUGGAAAUCUUGGGGAACCAAAUCACCUGGUGGAUGGAAACCUUACGGCGAUACAUCAAAUGACCGUCCACCAGGUGGAUGGAAACCAUAUGGAGAGAGGUCAGGCAGUGGGUACCAACCUUACGGUGAUAGAUCAAGCGGUGGUUCGGGUGGCGGCUACCAACCUUACGGAGAUAAAUCGCGGGGUGGCUACCAGCCUUACGAAAGAAAAUCAGGUGGCAGCUCGAGUGGUGGUUACCAGCCCCAAGGCGGAAGACCAGGGAGUGGCUCAGGUGGUGGCUACCAACCUUAUGGAGAUAGAUCUGGUGGCAGCUCGGGUGGUGGUUACCAACCCCGAGGAGGAAGACCAGGGAGUGGCUCAGGUGGUGGCUACCAACCGUAUGGAGACAGAUCUGGUGGUAACUCGGGUGGUGGUUACCAGCCUUACGGAAAAGACCAAGUAGUGGCUCUGGAAGUGGCUACCAACCUUAUGGAGAUAGAUCUGGUGGUAGCUCGGGUAGUGGCUACCAGCCUUACGGGAAAAGACCAGGUGGUGCUCUGGAAGUGGCUACCAACCUACGGAGAUAGAUCUGAAGGUGGCUCAGGAGGUGGCUACAACAUUAUGGAGAUAGAUCUGGUGGUGGCUCAGGUGGUAGAUACCAACCUUAUGGCGACAGAUCUGGUGGUGGUUCGGGAAGCGGCUACCAACCCUAUGGGGACAGGUCUGGCAGUGGUUCGGGUACUGGUUGGAAGCAGACGUAUUCUAAGAACAGUUGGACAAAAGCCCCUUGGAAGGCGUAUUCAACCAAAAUAUCAACAACUACUCGACCAACAACAACUGUGGCGAGAGAUCCGGGUGACCCUAAGGUCAAAAGCGCAUUCGAGAAGGCAGGGAUCGUCCCGAAUAUUAUCCCAAAAGCACCGCUACGCGAGCUCAAGGUAA